rnacentral:rRNA from 1 species
GGUUGCGAUCAUACCAGCACUAAUGCACCGGAUCCCAUCAGAACUCCGCAGUUAAGCGUGCUUGGGCGAGAGUAGUACUAGGAUGGGUGACCUCCUGGGAAGUCCUUGUGUUGCAACCC